ACUCACGGGGAGCAUAGGCACUGCCCAGUACCAGGCCUCCGUUGAACAGAAGUUCAAUUCAUAAAUUAAUCAGGGCCGCAAUGGGUUCUGGCCUCAGAAGACCAUGGCUCACGGACCGCCAGUUGUAAGCAUAGCACCAUCCCACAUUUGUAACUGAGCUUUGCAGCCCGGAGUUUCUCUUUGGUCUACUCUGAAGAAUCCACAUACCCACAAAAGUUUUCAAAGGACAAAGGGGCAAAUUCAGCAUGUGAUGAGUGUUGGGGCUUCAGGACAAUACAAGGAAGUUUGGGACCAACAUCCGGGCCUGAUAGUAGAGUUACACAGAACCUGGCUAUUUGGGCCCUGCUGAGAGCCCCAUGGAGUCAUUGUCACACAUCUGUUCACCAAUAUGUAUGAAUGGGAGAAAAUAAAAAUCCUGGCUUGUGGAUCAAGAACAUCCUUUGUUAUCCUUAUAUCCCUGGGGCCUCCCAUUAUUACUGGCAAAUGAUGAGUGCCCAGAAA
rnacentral:lncRNA from 1 species